CCUUUCUAUUUAAACCAUGUUACGGUUCAGAUUAUGCAUGACACGUACACUAUUUUUUUUAAUUUUGUUUUAAUAAAGUAAAUAAAUAAAAAUGGGUCAAAGUCACAAAUAAAUCAACAAAGUUCCGCACAAAAAAUCAAAAAUUGUACAGCAGGACCAAUUUUUAUUCUUUUGGAGCGACUGUCACGCAAAAACAAAAAUCGCGUGCUCACAGUGCCGAUCAGAACUCUUCUUUUCAAGGCACUUCAAACAAAGAAGUGGCUUACCUCAUUUAAAAGGAGCAUUUCUGCUAGCACCCUUGAACAAAUAUUUUGUUGUAACAAUUCUGCAAUGAUACCACAAGGGAAAAAUUAAAAUAACUUAAAACCAAAACAUGACAAAUUGUGUUGCAGCCAUAGGAAGGAAUCACAUAUCAAAGAGACAGCGGGUGCCCAACGAUGUUAGUCUUUUGGUUUCUUUAUUUCCUAAAUAGAUUAUGUAUUUCGCUUUAUUCAUGUGUACCAAUUUUACCGUUAAUAGGCACUUCAAAGAAUCCAUUCAUCCUCAAAAAUACCGAAAAACAUGUACCUAAGUAUCUAUCUCUAAACAUAGCAACGAUUGAAAUGCAUGCACAGAUUUUUAGAUACUCAACUAAUUUCAGAACGGAAAAAAGGAAUAAAACUCACCAAAAAUCAAAAAUCAUAGAGUCACCAACAUACUGGAAUCAAGGAGCUAAGACAAAAAUAGGAGAAAGAAGGAAAUAACAUAUUAGGGAUUAAGAAAAAUUAGACGAAAAGGGAGAGAAAGUUGUAAGGGGCUGUUGGGAAAAAAAACAAACCCAAAUUAGUAUCCAUCAGCUGGCACCCAAAUUUCACGUUGUUUGGAGAUGGAUACCCAGAGCUUCACAUAGAUGUAUUCUUUUAGCCUCCAUUUGUUGUUUGGCAGGAAGAGUUCUCGAAGAAAUGGGCAUGGAACCUGAAGAUAAGUGGAGAAAGUGGAAGCCAACUGUUUUUAACUUUAUCCAAAUGACGGUUUU
rnacentral:lncRNA from 1 species